GGUUUUCCCAGGGCAUGGAAAGGACAGGGCUCCCAGUGGAGAUAUCAUGUAGCUAUAGGGCCUAGAAGUAUUUUUUCAGUAGAUGAAAUUUAGAAAUAAUUUGAAUAUUUUAUGCUGGGGAGGUAGCUUGUGGAGUGAAAUGGUCGGGUAAAGGAAACACUGAGUUCAAGUGCUUCUUUAUAAAGGACACUUAACUGAUCUAAAUAUUUGUCAAGCUGAAUCGCUACAUCCACUCUCACCUGCCUGAAAUCAAUAUGCUCAAGUCAAACGCAUUUGCCUGCAUCUGAAUGUGGAGAAUGAACUUCUUAAAGCUGAACUGGCAGCUGGAAGGGGAGAGAGAAGAGCUGGACAGGGAGCCAGGACACCGGAGUUCUUUUCCACUGUGGUGGGAUCUGGAAGAAGCUGUUGAAUCUCUGUAGAGUUAGCUUUUAAAUGCUGUGAGUCUUUGGAAAGCUGUGCGAAUAACUGCUAAACACCCAGGACAGCUUAUGCAUUUUUUGAAAAAGGUUCCUGGUGCUGGUUCCAGCAGAAUAGACACAGAGAUGCAUGGCCUAACUCCCACUCCCUCUUCAGGACUGAGCCACGCAGCCCCCCAUCUGCCAGAAGUGUUAGCUGUUGACGGCUCACAGCUGAGUCCCUCUCCAGGCAUUGCUGAAAAGAGCCACCUUGCUCUAGGAUGUGCCCCCACCCUGGGGGCAGCAUACAUUCCAAGUGAUUAGUCCAUAGUGUGGUACAAAGGUUGUACCCAUCUUGCCUGAAUUCAGGAUCUCUUGGAAAACCACCCCAGCUCUGCAGCUCCUGGUGGG
rnacentral:lncRNA from 10 species